CUCAGCUCCAGGUACUGAUGGUAGGUGAGAUCCGUGUCUGUCGAGACGUAACUGCCGCCCUGUCCGCGCCCUCUUCCCUGUCCCCGCACUUCGUCGAAGGUGAAGCCCGGGAAGUCAGGAAGAUCAUGAAGCGCACGGACAACGUGGCCUUCCAUAUGAGGCCUGAUCAGCGCGGUGAUCAACGUGUGGUUGGUAUCAGUGCUCAUCGCCGCCCGCUCCCUUUGUCAUCUCAGCCUUCACGAUGAAGCUGUUCUGCGCCGCGUAGAGAUCGCCAUCGAGGACGCCGAAGAGAAUUUC
rnacentral:misc_RNA from 1 species